UGAACCAGGUAAAUUUCCAGU
rnacentral:piRNA from 1 species